rnacentral:rRNA from 1 species
ACGAACGCUGGCGGCAUGCCUAACACCUGCAAGUCGAACGCGACCUUCGGGUCUAGUGGCGCACGGGUGCGUAACGCGUGGGAACCUGCCCUUAGGUUCGGAAUAACUCCCCGAAAGGGGUGCUAAUACCGGAUAAUGUCUUCGGACCAAAGAUUUAUCGCCUUUGGAUGGGCCCGCGUUGGAUUAGCUAGUUGGUAGGGUAAAAGCCUACCAAGGCGACGAUCCAUAGCUGGUCUGAGAGGAUGAUCAGCCACACUGGGACUGAGACACGGCCCAGACUCCUACGGGAGGCAGCAGUGGGGAAUAUUGGACAAUGGGCGAAAGCCUGAUCCAGCAAUGCCGCGUGAGUGAUGAAGGACUUAGGGUUGUAAAGCUCUUUUACCCGGGAUGAUAAUGACAGUACCGGGAGAAUAAGCUCCGGCUAACUCCGUG